rfam:Triticum aestivum genome assembly, contig: Triticum_aestivum_CS42_TGACv1_scaffold_277391_3DS
GAAAGCCGUGUGCAAUGAAAAAUGCAAGCACGGUUUGGGGAGGGAUUUUUUUCCUUUUUUCUUUUAAAAAGGAAAUUCUCUACUCCAU